CCUACGGGGUGCAGCAGUGGGGAAUAUUGGACAAUGGGCGAAAGCCUGAUCCAGCCAUGCCGCGUGUGUGAAGAAGGCCUUCGGGUUGUAAAGCACUUUCAGUGGGGAAGAAAGCCUUGGGGCUAAUACCCUCGAGGAAGGACAUCACCCACAGAAGAAGCACCGGCUAACUCCGUGCCAGCAGCCGCGGUAAUACGGAGGGUGCGAGCGUUAAUCGGAAUUACUGGGCGUAAAGCGCGCGUAGGCGGUCUGAUAAGCCGGUUGUGAAAGCCCCGGGCUCAACCUGGGAACGGCAUCCGGAACUGUCAGGCUAGAGUGCAGGAGAGGAAGGUAGAAUUCCCGGUGUAGCGGUGAAAUGCGUAGAGAUCGGGAGGAAUACCAGUGGCGAAGGCGGCCUUCUGGACUGACACUGACGCUGAGGUGCGAAAGCGUGGGUAGCAAACAGGAUUAGAAUACCCCGGUAGUC
rnacentral:rRNA from 1 species